rnacentral:rRNA from 1 species
UUUAUUUGAGAGUUUGAUCCUGGCUCAGGAUGAACGCUGGCGGCGGGCCUAACACAUGCAAGUUGAGCGAUUUACUUCGGUAAAGAGCGGCGGACGGGUGAGUAACGCGUGGGUAACCUACCCUGUACACACGGAUAACAUACCGAAAGGUAUGCUAAUACGGGAUAACAUAUUUGGGAGGCAUCUCUUAAAUAUCAAAGGUGAGCCAGUACAGGAUGGACCCGCGUCUGAUUAGCUAGUUGGUAAGGUAACGGCUUACCAAGGCGACGAUCAGUAGCCGACCUGAGAGGGUGAUCGGCCACAUUGGAACUGAGACACGGUCCAAACUCCUACGGGAGGCAGCAG